CCUUACUAAUAGGAUUUGAGUUUGAAAAACUCGAAUUAUUGUGCUAUCAUUAGAUUCUUAGCUUGUUUGUCCCACAAGAUUGUGAGUUAAAUCGCAGCACAAAAUUG